GAUGAACGCUGGCGGCGUGCCUAAUACAUGCAAGUCGAGCGAACAGACGAGGAGCUUGCUCCUCUGACGUUAGCGGCGGACGGGUGAGUAACACGUGGAUAACCUACCUAUAAGACUGGGAUAACUUCGGGAAACCGGAGCUAAUACCGGAUAAUAUAUUGAACCGCAUGGUUCAAUAGUGAAAGACGGUUUUGCUGUCACUUAUAGAUGGAUCCGCGCCGCAUUAGCUAGUUGGUAAGGUAACGGCUUACCAAGGCAACGAUGCGUAGCCGACCUGAGAGGGUGAUCGGCCACACGGGAACUGAGACACGGUCCAGACUCCUACGGGAGGCAGCAGUAGGGAAUCUGCCGCAAUGGGCGAAAGCCUGACGGAGCAACGCCGCGUGAGUGAUGAAGGUCUUCGGAUCGUAAAACUCUGUUAUUAGGGAAGAACAAAUGUGUAAGUAACUAUGCACGUCUUGACGGUACCUAAUCAGAAAGCCACGGCUAACUACGUG
rnacentral:rRNA from 1 species